UUCAGAAGCCAUAACACCCUGCAACACCCUCACAACUGGCAACCCACUGAAGCUAAGCAGGUGUGAGCCUGGUCAGUACCUGGAUGGGAGACCUCCUGGGAAAAACUAAGGUUGCUGCUGGAA
rnacentral:rRNA from 1 species